rnacentral:rRNA from 1 species
GAUGAACGCUGGCGGCGUGCCUAAUACAUGCAAGUCGAGCGAACAGACGAGGAGCUUGCUCCUCUGACGUUAGCGGCGGACGGGUGAGUAACACGUGGAUAACCUACCUAUAAGACUGGGAUAACUUCGGGAAACCGGAGCUCAUACCGGAUAACAUGUUGAACCGCAUGGUUCAACAGUGAAAGACGGUCUUGCUGUCACUUCUAGAUGGAUCCGCGCCGCAUUAGCUAGUUGGUAAGGUAACGGCUUACCAAGGCAACGAUGCGUAGCCGACCUGAGAGGGUGAUCGGCCACGCGGGAACUGAGACACGGUCCAGACUCCUACGGGAGGCAGCAGUAGGGAAUCUUCCGCAAUGGGCGAAAGCCUGACGGAGCAACGCCGCGUGAGUGAAGAAGGUCUGCGGAUCGUAAAACUCUGUUAUUAGGGAAGAACAAAUGUGUAAGUAACUAUGCACGUCUUGACGGUACCUAAGCAGAAAGCCACGGCUAACUACGU